AUGCUCAUUUCAACAUCUUAUGCAUUAAAAUUAGAACCUUACAGACAGAUUAGCAAGGCCUCCGCACAAGAGUGACGUGUACAUACCUGAAGCGAUCCGCAUAUUU